CCAACUGCCUGGGUGUGCUCAGGGAAGAGCUAAGGCAGGGUGCCAGAGCUCAGCAAACUGGGCAUGAGGCCUGUGGCCAGAGCCCCACCCACAGCCCCCUGUCCUUCUAGGGAGGAGAGCAUGCUGCUCCUCCUCACAGGUCAUAGCUCCCCAGGAAAAAGGAACACUCCCCAGCCACCAGUUCUAAAACCAAAUCUUUAUUCUCUAGUUUGAAAAGAGGGGUAAAUGGUUGUUCUGUUUAGUUCCAGAGAACAGAACAAGGCCCAAUAGGUAGAAAUUAUAGGAAAGCGAAAUUCAUUCAUUAUCAGGAAGGAUUUCUAACAAUUAGAAUGUCUAACAAUUAGAAUCAUCCAGGGCCUUAGGAGGUGGGGAGGUCCCUGUGACCUAAGUGCUCAGGCAGAGCCCAGGUGUCCAUAUGCUAGAAAUGGUGAAAAGGAAAUUCAUCGGUAACUUCCCUUCAGCUGACCCUCCACCACCAAUGGGGCAGUCCUUUCCACAACAUGCUGAGCUCUGGAAGGAGUGGAGGGGCUGGGGUGUGCAGACACGAGCCUGAGUCUGGACACAGCGCCACAGACAGCCAGGGGAGGCUCUCAGCGCUGGGAGGGGCGACAGAUAUAGCAAGACAGACCAAGGAGGAAAUGCCUUGGGGGUUUGCUCUUUGGGAAGGAAGAGGAUGGAAGUGCUAACAGCAGAUGGUUCUCUCCAAGUCUGAGUGCCUACACAGGGGGCAGGAGGGAGGGGAUGGGAGAGGUAAGAGUGGCUUGGCUUCACUUCUUGCUGCUGGCAAAGGCCCAAGUGCUGUCU